UACGGAGGGUGCAAGCGUUAUCCGGAUUCACUGGGUUUAAAGGGUGCGUAGGUGGGCAGGCAAGUCAGUGGUGAAAUCUCCGGGCUUAACCCGGAAACUGCCAUUGAUACUAUUUGUCUUGAAUACCGUGGAGGUCAGCGGAAUAUGUCAUGUAGCGGUGAAAUGCUUAGAUAUGACAUAGAACACCAAUUGCGAAGGCAGCUGGCUACACGAAUAUUGACACUGAUGCACGAAAGCGUGGGGAUCAAACAGG
rnacentral:rRNA from 1 species